CUUGUUUUGGGAUCAACAUGGUGUCCGUGUAUAUCUUACGAUUCGAUUGAAGACGAAGCGCAUGGUGUUCGACGGUAAAGCGGUAUGUGUGCACAUAUUUUCCGUCAGUAUGGAUUGUUCCUUGAAGCAUUCUGAAGUAACAAAUUUAGUUUCUGCAACCAAGCAUGGUUGAUCAUCCUUUGUACUCGGACCAUGAGUAUAUGCUAUCAGUUCCAAGGAACCUUGUACAAGGAGUUCCUUGGAGUACUUUCUCAGGCCAGUUCUUGU
rnacentral:lncRNA from 1 species